GUGGGCUGCACCAGAAGUAGAUAGCUUAACCUUCGGGAGGGCGUUUACCACGGUGUGGUUCAUGACUGGGGUGAAGUCGUAACAAGGUAGCUGUAGGUGAACCUGCAGAAGGAUCA
rnacentral:rRNA from 1 species